AAUGUAAAACAACUCAGAACUGUUGCCAAGAACAUGCCAAGAGAUGGACAUGUCAAUGAUGUUGCCAUGAGUCAAUCUUGAAGAAGACUUCAGAAAAAAGAGGAAAAGGAAAGAAGGUGGGAUCAAGUGCACUUUGUGUUCAGUCUUCCUAUUGGUGCUCGUUGCUGAGUAAUAAAAUUGAUCAUUAAAA